UACAGAGGUGGCAAGCGUUGUCCGGAUUUACUGGGCGUAAAGAGCGCGCAGGCGGCUCGUCAAGCCUGACGUGAAAGCCCCCGGCUCAACCGGGGAGGGUCGUCGGAUACUGCGGAACUAGAGGACGGUAGAGGCGUGUGGAAUUCCGGGUGUAGUGGUGAAAUGCGUAGAGAUCCGGAGGAACACCAGUGGCGAAGGCGACACGCUGGGCCGUACCUAACGACUGAUGCGCGACAGCAUGGGGAGCAAACAGG
rnacentral:rRNA from 1 species